CUGUGGCCAUGAUGGGUAAAGACAGAAACAGGACAAUUCCAUAUGCAUAAACACAGAUUAAACCAUGAACAUUGUCCAACCCACAAAACACCGAAACAUCCCCAUCCCUGGUAACAAAAGUGACUGCUGUUUCUUUAUAAUUACACCUUGAGCCUCUCCUUUAGUCUGGUUAAGAUACCCAAUCAGAGAAUUACCCCUCCUUCUGACAGCAUCCAAUCAGAGCAAAGCUCUGUUUCCUUAAAACCUCCCCACACAUCACCAACACAAGCUCAAAUCCUGUAAUGAACAUCCUCUCCCUGGGAUGCCACACAGUUUAACAAGCAAUAGCCUCAGCUUGUUUCACAGCUUUUCUGUUCCUGGUGUUUUUUGGCUAAAGGACAUCAACACCGCAAGAUAUCAGUACUUAUCCUUCCUGCCUUUUCAAAUGGCACCUGGUGUCUUUGAGGGAAAGAGGUUUAUCUGGCUUCCACACCUGGGUCAAUCCUGCUUCACAGAAGUUCUCUAGAUGCUAACUGGUACCCUUAGUUCUACCUUAGGAGCUCUAGGACUAUUAUCUUUUGACUUCUUUCUGAAGAACACGACCAAUACAAGGCUGUGAGCAAAACAAGCUUCUGUGUGAGGAUUUGAAAGUAAUGGGGUGCAGCGUAGAACACGUAACUUAAAGCUGACUAAUGUACAUCCAUGUGCUGAAGUUUUUCAGGUCUUGGUUGCAGCACUCGAGAUCUUCAGUGCAUCAUGAGAGAGCUUUCAGAGAGAUUCCCUUGGAAACAAAAGCGUGUCUCCUCACUGUCUUCCCUAGACGCACCUUCCAGGAUUCAAAUGCACAUGUUCAAAUGAGUAUAUC
ensembl:lncRNA